rnacentral:rRNA from 1 species
UACGUAGGUGGCAAGCGUUGUCCGGAAUUAUUGGGCGGAAAGCGCGCGCAGGCGGUCCCUUAAGUCUGAUGUGAAAUCCCACGGCUCAACCGUGGAAGGUCAUUGGAAACUGGGGGACUUGAGUACAGAAGAGGAAAGCGGAAUUCCAAGUGUAGCGGUGAAAUGCGUAGAGAUUUGGAGGAACACCAGUGGCGAAGGCGGCUUUCUGGUCUGUAACUGACGCUGAGGCGCGAAAGCGUGGGGAGCAAACAGG